rnacentral:rRNA from 1 species
UACGGAGGAUGCAAGCGUUAUCCGGAUUUAUUGGGUUUAAAGGGUGCGCAGGCGGGUUUGUAAGUCAGUGGUGAAAAACUGCCGCUUAACGGUAGUCUUGCCAUUGAUACUGCAAAUCUUGAGUUUGGUUGAGGUAGGCGGAAUGUGCAGUGUAGCGGUGAAAUGCAUAGAUAUCACGAGGAACUCCGAUUGCGCAGGCAGCUUACUAAACUACUACUGACGCUCAGGCACGAAGGCGUGGGGAUCAAACAGGAUUAGA